ACUUUUAAAGGAAAAUAGUAUAUCCGA
rnacentral:tRNA from 1 species